UACGUAGGGAGCAAGCGUUGUCCGGAAUCAUUGGGCGUAAAGCGCGCGUAGGUGGCCCGGUAAGUCCGCUCUGAAAGUCACAGGCUCAACCUGUGAAAGCGGGUGGAUACUGCCGGGCUAGAGUCCGGAAGAGGCGAGUGGAAUUCCUGGUGUAGCGGUGGAAUGCGCAGAUAUCAGGAGGAACACCAACGGCGAAGGCAGCUCGCUGGGACGGUACUGACACUGAGGCGCGAAAGCCAGGGGAGCGAACGGG
rnacentral:rRNA from 1 species